rnacentral:rRNA from 1 species
AACGAACGCUGGCGGCAUGCCUAACACAUGCAAGUCGAACGAGACCUUCGGGUCUAGUGGCGCACGGGUGCGUAACGCGUGGGAACCUGCCCUUAGGUUCGGAAUAACUCCCCGAAAGGGGUGCUAAUACCGGAUAAUGUCUUCGGACCAAAGAUUUAUCGCCUUUGGAUGGGCCCGCGUUGGAUUAGCUAGUUGGUGGGGUAAAGGCUCACCAAGGCGACGAUCCAUAGCUGGUCUGAGAGGAUGAUCAGCCACACUGGGACUGAGACACGGCCCAGACUUCUACGGGAGGCAGCAGUGGGGAAUAUUGGACAAUGGGCGAAAGCCUGAUCCAGCAAUGCCGCGUGAGUGAUGAAGGCCCUAGGGUUGUAAAGCUCUUUUACCAGGGAUGAUAAUGACAGUACCUGGAGAAUAAGCUCCGGCUAACUCCGUGCCAGCCGCCGCCGUAAAAC